rnacentral:rRNA from 1 species
AUUGAACGCUGGCGGAAUGCUUUACACAUGCAAGUCGAACGGUAGAGGGGGCAACCCCUUGAGAGUGGCGAACGGGUGAGUAAUAUAUCGGAACGUGCCCAGUCGUGGGGAUAACGUAGCGAAAGUUACGCUAAUACCGCAUACGAUCUAAGGAUGAAAGCGGGGGACUCGCAAGAGCCUCGCGCGAUUGGAGCGGCCGAUAUCAGAUUAGGUAGUUGGUGGGGUAAAGGCUCACCAAGCCAACGAUCUGUAGCUGGUCUGAGAGGACGACCAGCCACACUGGAACUGAGACGCGGUCCAGACUCCUACGGGAGGCAGCAGUGGGGAAUUUUGGACAAUGGACGCAAGUCUGAUCCAGCCAUUCCGCGUGCAGGAUGAAGGCCCUCGGGUUGUAAACUGCUUUUGUACGGAACGAAAGGUUCUAUUAAUACUAGGAGCUCAUGACGGUACCGUAAGAAUAAGCACCGGCUAACUACGUGCCAGCA